rnacentral:rRNA from 1 species
GACGAACCACACAAACGUUAUUCGGAAUCACUGGGCUUAAAGGGUGCGUAGGCGGCUCCUUAAGUCUGGUGUGAAAUCUCCCGGCUCAACUGGGAGGGUGCGCCGGAUACUGAGGGGCUAGAGUGUGGGAGAGGAAAGUGGAAUUCCUGGUGUAGCGGUGAAAUGCGUAGAUAUCAGGAGGAACACCGGUGGUGUAAACGGCUUUCUGGACCAUAACUGACGCUGAGGCACGAAAGCGUGGGUAGCAAACAGG